rnacentral:rRNA from 1 species
AUUGAACGCUGGCGGCAUGCCUUACACAUGCAAGUCGAACGGCAGCACGGGAGCAAUCCUGGUGGCGAGUGGCGAACGGGUGAGUAAAGUAUCGGAACGUGCCCAGUCGUGGGGGAUAACGUAGCGAACGUUACGCUAAUACCGCAUACGAUCUAUGGAUGAAAGCGGGGGAUCGCAAGACAUCGCGCGAUUGGAGCGGCCGAUAUCAGAUUAGGUAGUUGGGGGGGUAAAGGCUCACCAAGCCGACGAUCUGUAGCUGGUCUGAGAGGACGGCCAGCCACACUGGGACUGAGACACGGCCCAGACUCCUACGGGAGGCAGCAGUGGGGAAUUUUGGACAAUGGGCGCAAGCCUGAUCCAGCCAUGCCGCGUGCAGGAUGAAGGCCUUCGGGUUGUAAACUGCUUUUGUACGGAACGAAAAGGUUUGACUUAAUACGUUGGACUCAUGACGGUACCGUAAGAAUAAGCACCGGCUAACUACGUGCCAGCCGCCGCCGUAA